rnacentral:rRNA from 1 species
UAGGGAAUCUUCCGCAAUGGACGAAAGUCUGACGGAGCAACGCCGCGUGAGUGAAGAAGGAUUUCGGUUCGUAAAACUCUGUUGUUAGGGAAGAAAAAAUGUAUAGUAACUAUAUACAAAAGAGACGGUACCUAACCAGAAAGCCACGGCUAACUACGUGCCAGCAGCCGCGGUAAUACGUAGGUGGCAAGCGUUGUCCGGAAUUAUUGGGCGUAAAGCGCGCGCAGGUGGUUUAGAAAGUCUGAUGUGAAAGCCCACGGCUCAACCGUGGAGGGUCAUUGGAAACUAAUAAACUUGAGUGCAGGAGAGGCAAGUGGAAUUCCUAGUGUAGCGGUGAAAUGCGUAGAGAUUAGGAGGAACACCGGUGGCGAAAGCGGCUUUUUGGCCUGCAACUGACACUGAGGCGCGAAAGCGUGGGGAGCAAACAGG